UCCUGACAACUCCAUCGGGGGGUUGACACUAGCCACGACAGGAGAUCCAAAUG
rnacentral:ncRNA from 1 species